rnacentral:rRNA from 1 species
UACGGAGGAUCCGAGCGUUAUCCGGAUUUACUGGGUUUAAAGGGUGCGUAGGCGGGCGCCUAAGUCAGCGGUGAAAUACGGGGGCUCAACCUUCGAACGGCCGUUGAUACUGGGCGCCUUGGAUUCGGUCGAGGCGGGCGGAAUGCGUGGUGUAGCGGUGAAAUGCUUAGAUAUCACGCAGAACGCCGAUUGCGAAGGCAGCUCGCCAGGCCGACAUUGACGCUGAGGCACGAAAGCGUGGGGAUCAAACAGG